UUUGUCCUACGGGACGCAGCAGUGAGGAAUAUUGGUCAAUGGUCGGGAGACUGAACCAGCCAAGCCGCGUGAGGGAUGAAGGUAUAGAGUAUCGUAAACCUCUUUUGUCAGGGAACAAAGGCGGGGACGCGUCCCCGGAUGAGUGUACCUGAAGAAAAAGCAUCGGCUAACUCCGUGCCAGCAGCCGCGGUAAUACGGAGGAUGCGAGCGUUAUCCGGAUUUAUUGGGUUUAAAGGGUGCGCAGGCGGUCUGUUAAGUCAGCCGUCAAAGCCCGGGGCUCAACCCCGGCCCGCCGUUGUAACUGG
rnacentral:rRNA from 1 species